GUAAGUACAGCAGGUGGCAGCAGUAGCAAGGUCCAGGUACGUAAAUGUCACUAGCCGUGAUCCUGAGUGGAGAAAGUAGAAUGAUUUCCUCAAGUCACUGUGAUGCUGCCUAGUCCCAACCCACAUCCCAGCACUGAUGCAACCGGUCCGAUCAAUGAACCGUGUCCUAAGCUGAGUGUUGUCAAAAAGCAGCCUUUCAAAACAUCUGGGUCCGAGCCCCCAUGAGCGUCGCCAGUGGCAAGGAAAAACUCCCUAAGGGCAAGAGGAAGAAACCUUGAGAGGAAC